GGCAGGGUGUAGCCGCGAGGAAUGCGGCGCUUCCCCACGGACGGCUCCGCCAAAAGAGCACUUGUGUUUUUUAACACUGGCCUUUCAGGAGGAUGCUCGAGUUAAGGCAUUGUGGCCCACUGUAAAUAGAUGCACUCGCCAGAAUGGGGCUUCGUCAUCCCUAAUUAGGGAAGUAACUCCAGAGAGACAGCAUGUCACUUGCAAGACUGGGCUCAUUGUUGGGUUUGUGCGCGUCCCCACAAUGUGAGGAUCAUUCAGGACUUGCAACAGAUUAAUCAGGCUUGACUGGACGUGAACCUCCUAGCAGAAAAGGUAGAUCAACUCUGCUGGAUGCCCAGUAGAGGUCUAAAUGCUCCCCUACCAAGAAAAAAACAGCUCAACAAGGUCUGCAAGGAAAACAUUUUGGAGUUACUGCUGCCUUCUCCUCUCAGGAAAUUUACAGCCUCACAAAGGGGGAAUUUUCAGCCUUCCAAACAGCAUGGAUGGAAGCCUGCAGUAGCAUUUAUUCACAUGUCAGGUUAAGGAGUGCUCUGCCAAAGCCCGACCAAGGAAAUCACAACCCAGCCUAUGGAUCCUGAGAAAUCACCCCUGACAAUUUGGUUGGAAGAUGCCUUGUUUUCCUAAUAAGGUACUGUACCUGAUCAUCAACAUGUAUUUGGAACCAGUCAAAAUGCAUUUGGCAAACCAGCAUUUGAUUUGUGGGAAAUCUACAAAAACCCAGAUCCCAAACCCAACAGUGAUGAAUGGUCAAAUUUCUGAGGAGAAGGCCAGUGCCAGCUGCCACACCUCACCUUGGAUAGAAGUGUGCAUGUGCUGGAGCAUGAAUACAUUUCAGUGCAUUUCUCUGCUUCUUCCUC